AUGGCUCAAUGGUAGAUCGUUCGACUCAAAAACCAAAGAUCGCGGGUUCGAAUCCAGCU
rnacentral:tRNA from 1 species